GAUAAACGCUGGCGGCGUGCCUAACACAUGCAAGUCGAACGCGCUUUGCCUUCGGGCAGAGUGAGUGGCGGACGGGUGAGUAACACAUGGGUACCUCCCUCGCGGUGAGGAAUACCACCGAGAAAUCGGUGACAAGACCGCAUACGCUCUCUUCUUCGUGCGAGCGAGAGAGAACAAAGUUUUGCGCAAGCAAGACGCCACGAGAUGGGCCUGUGCCUGAUUAGCUAGUUGGUGGGGUAAAAGCCUACCAAGGCCACGAUCAGUAGCUGGUCUGAGA
rnacentral:rRNA from 1 species